UACAGAGGUCUCAAGCGUUGCUCGGAUUUACUGGGCGUAAAGGGCGCGUAGGCGGCCAGCACAAGUCAGUUGUGAAAUCUCCGGGCUUAACUCGGAAAGGUCAACUGAUACUGUGCGGCUAGAGUGCAGAAGGGGCAACUGGAAUUCUCGGUGUAGCGGUGAAAUGCGUAGAUAUCGAGAGGAACACCUGCGGCGAAGGCGGGUUGCUGGGCUGACACUGACGCUGAUGCGCGAAAGCCAGGGGAGCGAACGGG
rnacentral:rRNA from 1 species